AAGGUUCCGCCCGGGAUUGAACCGGGGACCUUCUCGGUGUUAACGAGAUGCCAUAACCGACUAGACCACGCAACCU
rnacentral:tRNA from 3 species